UGGGGAAUAUUGCACAAUGGGCGCAAGCCUGAUGCAGCCAUGUCGCGUGUAUGAAGAAGGCCUUCGGGUUGUAAAGUACUUUCAGUCGGGAGGAAGGUGUCAAGGUUAAUAACCUUGGCAAUUGACGUUACCGACAGAAGAAGCACCGGCUAACUCCGUGCCAGCAGCCGCGGUAAUACGGAGGGUGCAAGCGUUAAUCGGAAUUACUGGGCGUAAAGCGCACGCAGGCGGUCUGUCAAGUCGGAUGUGAAAUCCCCGGGCUCAACCUGGGAACUGCAUUCGAAACUGGCAGGCUAGAGUCUUGUAGAGGGGGGUAGAAUUCCAGGUGUAGCGGUGAAAUGCGUAGAGAUCUGGAGGAAUACCGGUGGCGAAGGCGGCCCCCUGGACAAAGACUGACGCUCAGGUGCGAAAGCGUGGGGAGCAAACAGG
rnacentral:rRNA from 1 species